rnacentral:rRNA from 1 species
UGAGGAAUACCCUCGAGAAAUCGAGGUUAAUACUGCAUACGUCCCUUCGGGGAGAAAGGUGGCUUUAUGCUGCUGCUGAAGGAUAAGCUUGCGUACUAUUAGCUAGUUGGUGAGGUAAAGGCUCACCAAGGCGAUGAUGGUUAGCCGGCCUGAGAGGGUGUACGGCCACACUGGAACUUAGACACGGUCCAGACUCCUACGGGAGGCAGCAGUGGGGAAUAUUGCGCAAUGGGCGAAAGCCUGACGCAGCGACGCCGCGUGGAGGAUGAAGGUCUUCGGAUUGUAAACUUCUGUUAAGUGGGAAGAAAUGCCUGUUUCUAAUACAAAUAGGAGCUGACGGUACCAUUAGAGAAAGCACCGGCUAACUUCGUGCCAGCAGCCGCGGUAAUACGAAGGGUGCAAGCGUUAUUCGGAAUCAUUGGGCGUAAAGGGUGUGUAGACGGUGUGCUAAGUCUGUUGUUAAAUGCUUCAGCCUAACUGGAGACCUGCAGUGGAAACUAGCAUGCUAGAGGGUGGAAGAGAGAAGUGGAAUUCUCGGAGUAGCGGUAAAAUGCGUAGAUCUCGAGAGGAACACCAAUGGCGAAGGCAGCUUCUUGGUCCAUUCCUGACGUUGAAACACGAAAGCGUGGGGAGCAAACAGGAUUAGAUACCCUGGUAGUCCACGCUGUAAACGAUGA